UUGAAUGAUGAAAUAGUACAGGCCAGAGUUCUAAGCCAUAUUACUAAUCAACACACCGAAACAAGACCCUUUUGGAGUUUGAAGCGACUCAAAAUGUUCAAACAUAGAGAGCAGUUAAAAAGUCCGAAUGCUGUUGUCACUAAAAAUAUGGAUGAUCAUGGAUUAAAAAUAUUUUACAACCUCCCUGUAUCACGCAAACCAUGC
rnacentral:lncRNA from 1 species